rnacentral:rRNA from 1 species
UGGGGAAUAUUGGACAAUGGGCGCAAGCCUGAUCCAGCCAUGCCGCGUGAGUGAUGAAGGCCCUAGGGUUGUAAAGCUCUUUCACCGGUGAAGAUAAUGACGGUAACCGGAGAAGAAGCCCGGCUUACUUUGUUCCAGCAGCCGCGGUAAUACGAAGGGGGCUAGCGUUGUUCGGAUUUACUGGGCGUAAAGCGCACGUAGGCGGACUAUUAAGUUAGGGGUGAAAUCCCGGGGCUCAACCCCGGAACUGCCUUUGAUACUGGUAGUCUUGAGUUCGAGAGAGGUGAGUGGAAUUCCGAGUGUAGAGGUGAAAUUCGUAGAUAUUCGGAGGAACACCAGUGGCGAAGGCGGCUCACUGGCUCGAUACUGACGCUGAGGUGCGAAAGCGUGGGGAGCAAACAGG